GAUGAACGCUGGCGGCGUGCCUAAUACAUGCAAGUCGAGCGAACAGACGAGGAGCUUGCUCCACUGACGUUAGCGGCGGACGUGUGAGUAAAAUGUGGAUAACCUACCUAUAAGACUGGGAUAACUUCGGGAAACCGGAGCUAAUACCGGCUAAUCUAUUCAACCGCAUGGUUCAAUAGUUCAAUUCGGUUUUGGUGUCACUUGUAGCUGGAUCGGCGCCGCGUUAGCUAUUUGGUAAGGUAACGUCUUACCAAGGCAACGCUGCGUAGCCGACCGGAGGGCGGCAUCGGCGAGCGUGGAACUGAACCGCGAUCCAGACUCCGACGGGACGCAGAAGUGGGGAAUCUGCCGGAAUGGGCGGAAGCCUGACGGAGGAACGACGCGUGAGUGAUGAAGGUCUUAUGAUCGUAAACCUCUUUUAAUCCGGAAGAACAAAUGUCUAAGUACCUUUGCAGGUCGUGACGGUAGCUACAGAAAAAGGAACGGCUAACUACGUG
rnacentral:rRNA from 1 species